GCUGGCUUCACCAGCAAAUACACUAAAAUUGGAAUGAUACAGAGAUGACUACCAUGGCCCCUGUACAAGGAUGAUACGCAAAAGAAUGUCACCAUUCACAAAAUU